rnacentral:lncRNA from 1 species
GUUGAGCACACUAACUCCGCGCACGCGCGUUUCCCUGUAUUCCGUCCUGGCCACUCCCUGGAUUCCCAGGACAUCUAGUUCUGGUUACACUCUUGGCAGAUCCACGCCCCCUGCUCUCCCCUUCUUGGCGGAACCUGAUCUUGAGAAGCCUCAGAGAAGCGGGCGGAGCUUACGAAUUUCUGGAGGAAAUCGUCCAGGUCUCUCAGAGCUAGAUGUUGGCGCCUUUUAGAGGGUGAAACGAACUUGGAGGUUUCUGCUUCUCCCCUAAAGAUAGGUUUGCUUCAUAUUUCUCCGGGUUCCAAACACCACAACUCCAAGAGCAGAAACCGGGUAGGAAAGUUUUCUUAAGGAAUCUGCAUCCUGCUUUCUAUAGUACCUGCAACAAUUUACAUUGUACGUGGGACUCAUUUGAAUGUAUUGGUCUUCAUGGACAAGGUGAGACAGUCAGUCACAUAUGCAUUCUGUUUAUGAAAGUGUUCUUUAAAUUGCUACCUUAGGAAUAUAAAAUUGGCAGAAUUAUACUCACUUAGUUUGUCUGAAUUAAUCUUUAUUUCUAAAGAUUAGUGAUUAACUUUCUCUGAAGCUGAAAAUUGUUACCUUGUGGGGGUGAAAAGGUAAGGUUCAUAAAGUUACAGUUGUUGAUUAACCUACAAAAUUUGACUAGCCUUCGAAUAUUAUAGCUUUGGAUUUUUUUUUCUCAUCUAAGAAGGGCAUAAGGUCUGGGAGUGGAGACUGAAGUUUUCCACAGCCCAGGGUUCCUGAUUUGUCAAAGUACUGGAAAUUGUCUUUCUCUGGUGGAGAUAGUCAAAAAAAUUGCAGUGUACUUCAUGAUACUUAAUUUCCAUGGUCUUAAAUGCCUUAGACUGCCAAUUUAUAGUUCAGUUUUACUGUCAAAUAUUCAUGGGCCAUGAGAAAUGCAAAUGGAACCAAAUAUAAUCCCUGCCCUCCAAGAACUUAAAAUUUGAAGGAUCUAGAAACAAAUCAUGUUGGCAAUAGAUCCAUGUGCGAAUGUGAACAAAAUGCUGUGGAAACACAGGACAGAGAAUGAAAAGUUAGUAGAGUGGACAAGUCCACAACAAACAACAGCUAAGAAUCUAUAACAAAAAGAAAAGAAAGAUUUCUUAAAGGAGGUGAUCAUUGAGAUAGACCUGUAAUGGUGGUU